rnacentral:tRNA from 1 species
GACCGCGUAGCUCAGUUGGAAGAGCAUUGGGCUAGUAUUCCAAAGGUCGUAGGUUUGAAUCUCACCGUGGCCG